rnacentral:rRNA from 1 species
UGAAUUGAUUCUUCGGAUGAUUUUCAGUUGACUGAGCGGCGGACGGGUGAGUAACGCGUGGGUGACCUGCCCCAUACCGGGGGAUAACAGUUGGAAACGACUGCUAAUACCGCAUAAGCCCACGGGUCGGCAUCGACCAGAGGGAAAAGGAGCAAUCCGCUUUGAGAUGGCCUCGCGUCCAAUUAGCUAGUUGGUGAGGUAACGGCCCACCAAGGCGACGAUUGGUAGCCGGACUGAGAGGUUGAACGGCCACAUUGGGACUGAGACACGGCCCAGACUCC